GCCCCACUAGUCUGGGAUACCACUUGGAAACAGGUGCUAAUACCGGAUAAGAAAGCAGAUCGCAUGAUCAGCUUUUAAAAGGCGGCGUAAGCUGUCGCUAUGGGAUGGCCCCGCGGUGCAUUAGCUAGUUGGUAAGGUAAAGGCUUACCAAGGCUAUGAUGCAUAGCCGAGUUGAGAGACUGAUCGGCCACAUUGGGACUGAGACACGGCCCAAACUCCUACGGGAGGCAGCAGUU
rnacentral:rRNA from 1 species